UUCCAUUGCCAUUGCUUCAAGACCAUUUGCAGCGCAUAAGUGUCCAGUGCAACGAAUGAAGGGACGCAAAAUACCCCUACUGCCGUGUGGUAUCGAUAGCCACCCAUUAUUAAAUUUCUUGUGUGGGAUUUAUGAUCCAGUAUCUGGGACUGACACAUGCCAGCCGUAACAUAUUGUUCCUAAUACUGCUAUACUAAAGUUACAUUAGUGUACCAUCAUCUGGGGUGUAUAGGGACGUGGAGGUGAAUAGGGACAAAAAUUUAAAAAAAAACUAAUUAAUUAUAGCUUCUCCAUAUUUAAUGCCUGUUAUAAUUAUGCCAGUGCUGGUAAGUUGUAAAAACCAUUAUGUAUGAUAGAGUUGGAGCAAAAAUUUUGAAUUUUUAUUUCAGUUCGGUUGGCAUCCAUUAUUAUCAACCAUUAAAUUGGAGGGAAUUUCCCUAACCUCACAAAUGUUCACUAGUGCUGAGAAGUGUUUUUGGUCCCGUGCGGGAACGAUCGUCGUGCUCGCACUGUGGCUACAUCAUGGAAUAAUCUAGAAACUUCUGAUUCAUCAUUACCAUCGCUACAUAUAAUACCUAUGGAAUCUGAACUUUCACAACAAGGCAAACGAAAAUUACGAGAGGAUGAAGGCAUCUCAGAAGCUAGGACAACUAAGGCUAACCGCAAGACUGAUUCGGCACCUCCUGAUUCUUCAGAAAUAAGGAAUUCACAAUGCCAAGGAACUACAAAAGAGAUCCUCGAUCAAGAGUCCAUCGUCCUGUUGAUCAAGAAAAUGUCCAAAGAGCUGUUCAGGAAGUUAACCGUGGUAUGUCCAUAAGGAAGGCACAAAAGCAUUUUGGAGCUUCCAAGUCAGCCUUACAUCGCUAUGUGAAAAAAAUUCAAGAAUGACACAGGUUGAUAACUGUACAGUAGCAAACUGUAACAAUAGAAGACUGCAGUAGCCAGCACCAGUGGUGCCACAUGCCUGUCCAUCGUACCAUGGGUGGCGGGUUUAAGUCUUACUUCACAAAUGAAUGUUUAGUUUUGUCAUGAGAUAUUUCAGUUGAACUGUACGCCAUCCUCUGUAAAUCUGUACUGCAUGUCACAAGUAGUAUUAUAAGCCAUAUUUAUAAAAAUAAAAUACGAAUAAUAGUCAUAAACAGUGCCAAUUUAAUAGCGAUUUCUGUUUGGUUUUAGACGAAGGAUAAAAUUAUAUUUUUUUAAUUUUAUAUUUAUAAAAAAUUGCUGGAAUAAUUCAUAGUUGUGUGUUCACAUAGUUCAAGAUUUGAGAGUUGUGAUGUGCAAAUUAUCUUAUGAGAAAAAAACUAGGACAUAUAA